rnacentral:tRNA from 1 species
UGGGGUUUAGCUCAGUGGUAGAGCACUUGCCCAGCACGCGAGAGGCCCUGAGUUCCAAACCCAGCACCACAA